rnacentral:lncRNA from 1 species
GAACUUCGACUUCAGGCCAGGAAUGAUCACCAUCAACCUUGAUCUAAAGAGGGGUGGCAAUGGCAGAUUCUUGAAGACUGCAGCAUAUGGACACUUCGGAAGGGACGACCCAGAUUUCACCUGGGAAACUAUCAAGCCACUCGAGUGGGAGAAGCCUCAAUCUUAAAUGGAUAGCGGAUUCGUUUGGUGGUCUCUAAUUCCUUACAAUUCAAUAUCUGGGGAUUGUUGUUACUUCAUGAUGAAUGAUUUUCGUGUUAUCUUUUUUCUUUUUUCUGCUGCUUUAUGUUCUCCAAAGCAAAUUAUAUUUGUUCUAUUUCCUUUUCCUAGUUUAAAUCUUCUUGUAAUAUUUUUAAUAUUCUAAAUACUAUCAAUGGAAUGAAAAAUCAUUUUGUUAAAAACCUUUUUCUCCCUUCCAUUAUUUCUUCUUUAUUUAAUGAUUUUGAGUUGAUGAUGUUUAUACACUAUGCUAUAAUCUUGCGGAUGAAAUGGGGUUUUAAUAUUUGAUCAAUUUCUUAUCCUAAAGUGAGUAAAUGACCCCUACUUGCUUAACUCACCUAAUCAUAAACCUAACAACCAUCAAAUUAAAACAUUUAAUAUAAUUAAAGUUGAUUACCUCUCACUAAAUUGUUAAUGAUUGGUACAAAUCCUUCUACCGUAGUUAAAGUGUCAUUACUUGCUUACGUGUUUAACAUUUUGUUUUUAUCUAAGAAUGUCAAACGUGCAUUUUCCUCUUCAAUAAAUUACAUGUGGAAUGAGGUUAGGAUAUAUUAGCUCAAAUUGACCAUGUCUAUCUUUAAUUAUCAAAUUAGACUAUAAUAAGAUGGGAAUUUAAACCUCAAUUGGAAACCCCAAUGGGACCAAAAACCAUUUGUUAAAUAAAAUAGCCUACAAAAUGAUUAGUUAUUAGUUACUAAAAAUGCUGUGGCUCUCAAAAUCCUCUUUUAAGUCAAAGCAAACUUUGGCCAAUGAGACAUUUACAAAUAAAAGCUUAGUCAAUUGGACUUCCUUCCAUUUUGAACAUUCCUUUUUGUAGGGACCAAAAAUGAGAAACAAACUCUGAUUUUGGAUAUUAUAUAAUAAGUUGAAUAAUAAAUUAAAAAUAAAGGAGAUUUCUAUAAGAAAACUCUCGUAAACCUAAGUUUUUAUGUGAUUAUGUGCAUAAUUUAAAAUUACCUUUAUCUAUUAUUAAUAUAAUAUGAAUAUUUUGUCAAAUUUGUUAUUUUUUACAAUUUUCCUUUUCUCAUAUAAUUAUUUAAAAUAAUAACAGUACAACUAUUUAAAUAACUUUUAAACAUAUUUUAAAAAAAAUAGGAAAUUAGAAUAACUUAUUCCAAAAAUGUAAAGAACAAACACACUUAUAGUAAGAAAAACUAAAUCCACUUGUCCUUCAAAAUUCAAAGACAAAAAAAAAAGUAACUUUUGUGAAGCUUAAAUUCAUGGCUUAAAUAAGAGAAAAGUCUUACAAUAAAUAUAAUACAACAAUUAAAUUUAAAAUAUUAACGGAUAUAGUAAAAAUGUUUUAAAAAAUAAAAAUUAUAAAAAUUAUAAAAAAAUAUAACAAAUCUAGCAUUAGCUACUUUUGUUAAAAUUUUAGGGCAUAAUUAUUAUUCCUAAACACCUUAUCAAUGAUUGUCACACAGAAAUUGGAAAUUUCAUUGUCUCUAAAGUAUUUUUGGGCCUUCAGUGAGCUUUUUGGACAAUUUCUAUGAAUUAAAGGUACAAUAUGUUUUCUAUUUUUAGAAUUAUUUUUAAGUUUUCCUACAUUUAUAGGAGGGGAAUUGUUAUGAAUAAUAAAAAGUGAAUAAGUUGAAUAAAAUUUAUUACUUUUUAAAGUGUACUCUAUUAUUUUGUCAUUUUGACUAUUAUCUGUGAGUCUAACCCCUUAAAAUGCCACCGUUACAUUUACCCUCUAUUUUUCUUCACAUCAUCUCUAAUAAGAUCUAGAUAUGGGCUGGCUCGUUGGACCACGUUGGGCCAAAGGGCCCAUAUCACUCAAACCAUUUUAAUCCAAAAUUAAAUUGACCUAAAAAUCUUGUUAUGAGCCAUUUUAACUCUCUAGAAAUACAUAUAUGAAUAGAAUUUUAAAAUCAAAUAUAUCAUAAUCUAUUUUAAGUUUAUUUAAUAAAGUCAAAGAUAAAUGUAUCAAUAUCAAAUUUAGAAAUAACAAAAUACUGAUCAAAGAUCAACGGCUGCGAUUUGAAAUUGGAGUGGACGCUCAAUUUUUCUAAUCUACGAAUCGUUGCCCCCAAAGUUCUCUUCAUUUGCAGUUACUGCUUGGAAUAAAUGGAUGAAUAUGAAACGUAAUGACUCUGUCUCAAUGCGUAUUAUAAACGGAAGACGAAGGUCGCCGGCGAAAGUUGAUCGGAAGUAGGAGACCACUGGCGAAGUCCAACGAGGUUAACUCAAAGAAAGCUCGACGACUUCGUUCUACCAAGCAGUCGCCUGCUUCGACGUUUCGCUUUGGUGUGUAUAUAUAUUUUAUUAUAGCCUCCGUUCUAAGCGCGAGCGACCUGUCGUUACUCUGACUGAAGCAUUGUGGACUUGUUCCUGUGGAAUUUCAUAUCUGAUCAACGGUAUGAAUCGGUUUCUUCUCAUUUUUACUAGCUACCUGUUGAAUUGCUGAUGUUUUCUCUCUUUAAAUGUUAAAGAAUAUGCAUGAUUUUGAUGUGCAGUGUAUUGCUUUACUAGGUCCGCUAAAUUAAGCUCAAUUUGCUGUCAGUGCGGAUUCCGGAGUUUUGGCUUUUGAAUUGUGAUCGACGAGGUGAUUUAUCGCCUUCUUUUUCGUUAGUUUGUUAUACCAAUCUUCUUGAUAACGAUUUUUUUCCUGAGAACUGCAUGUACGUGCGGCUUUUUAUCGGAUCGUUUUCUUUUUUAUUGGUUUGUUUUACUCGUUCGUUUGAUGUAACUAGAGAUAUUUUUCGAAAUCCAACCCAACGUUAAUCAGUAUUCUUGCGAGUCCUCGUUAAUAUUUGUUUAAUUUCCGGUUCUCUAGUGUUUAUUUGAAUUCUUCAUGUGAAGUUGAACACAUUUCUGGUUAAUACUUCCUGUUUGUAAGGCUGUUCAUCAUCUGUUCUAACAACGACAUUUUUUCGUUUUCUGUAAUGUCAUUUAAGCAAUAUUGUCAGACGAAAACAUAAAAUAAUUAGUUGUUCUAACGACUAUUUUUGCACUUGGAGAUGGACAAAGAUUUCCAAUAAUUUUUAUUAACUUACUAAUUUUGGCAUCAGUUGGCGCAUCUGUGAACAAAGAAAACGAUGGGAUGCUUUGGUUGCUGCGAAGAAGAUGCUAUCCAGAAGGCUGCUGAUAAUAGCAACACGUACCAAGUAAAAACUUCAGCAGGUAAUCGUAGUACGGCACUAAAUUUCAACCGUACUGAGAGUGAUAUAUUCUCAUAUCGUAAUUCAUAAACGCAUUGAAUGGAAUCAACAGGAGCUGCUGGUCUGAACACGGAUUUAUGUUAUGUGUGAAAUAUUAUCACUUUGAUUUGUCAAACAAGCCCCUGAUAUGGUUGCACGGCUUCACUCCACCCGUGUUCUUGGAACCUUUGGCUAUCAUGCUCCCGAGUAAGUUGAUUUGUUCUAAUGUUAUUUCAUAUACUUCAGUGUGAGUUUCACUUUUCUGCAUUUAAUCCCACGCUUGAAACUGGCAUAUUGAAAUUAAAGAUGCUUACUGCUUAGAUGUUCUCCCAUAUCUAGACUAUUUUAGCCCAUUCAAGCACUAGGUUAAUGGGCUCUCUGUAAACGAAUACACACAAAAGGUACAGCUAACAACUAGGAAACAGAGACAAGGGCCUAGUGGUUGGGUCAACUUACUGAUCAUGGCCCACUUGGCCUGGCCACUGUAAAAACCACUCUGGUUCAUUGAUGCACCAAAGAAUUCACAUAUGGUACCUUAAUAAAGAUUGUGAAUUAACCGAGAAGAAAAAGUUCUCUUAACUAGCUCUAGCCGCUAGUUGUAGUAUUUUUCUUUUACAUCAAGACAGCCAACUCCCAAGCUAUAAUAUUUAAUUACUGCCGGUUCAACUAAUGAGGAGAAUUAGGAUAAUCAGUAGAUUUUAGGUAACAUUUAGUUUAGCGGCUAAUUUGGAUUGAUUAGUGUUUAAUUAGUUGUUUUUUGUAUUUGCUUGUCUAUAAUUAGCUAAUUUAGGCUGUAAUAGAGAGCUUUUGAACAUCAUUUGAACUAUCACUUCGUUCUUGGGGAGUGUUCUCUCAUCUUCAUAACGAGUCUGGCUUACGAAUUUGGCUUAAACCUUUUCUGUUGUAUCAUAUCCUAGAUAUAAAAUAACACAACUCAACAGACUUCAUGAGUAACUAAUAGAAGAUUCUUGAGAAAAAUAAAACUGCAGAAGAUUUUGAACACAUGAAUAUAUUAUUGUUGAUAUAAUAAAAAGUUGCAGGUUCCUUCUCUAUAAUUAAUUCUCCAGGUUUGAAUGUAAGACAUCACUACAUAAUCAUAAUAUAGCAUUAUCAAUAAGCUAAAUAUUGUGGGUGGCUUCCCAUUUUGAAAAUUACAGAUACGCAAUGACUGGACAAUUGAAUUCCAAGAGUGAUGUAUACAGCUUUGGCGUUGUCCUGCUUGAACUUUUGACAGGAAGAAAGCCAGUUGAUCAUACAUUACCUCGAGGACAGCAAAGCCUCGUGACAUGGGUAUGUUUUUUACUUUUGUAUGCUUAUACUCUUCUGAUCUUCCUCCCUUUAUCUACCUAAUUUCUGAGCAGCUUGAGACUUUGAAAUGUUUUGAAACGUAAUCAGGCCACGCCCAAACUUUGCGAAGAUAAAGUUAAGCAGUGUGUUGAUGCAAAACUAGGAAAUGAGUACCCUCCUAAGUCAGUUGCUAAGGUACCCCAUACGCAUACUGUUAUUUUCUUGCUUAUGUUUGGUAAUCAUAUCUCUCCUUUUUCUAUCUCUCUCCUUACUUGUCUGUGUGAGAUUCUCUUUCUUUUUUCCUUUAUUCUUUUUUUUCUAGUUUUAGAUAGAAAUUGUAUUAAACCAACAUUUCUCUAUCUAAGGGGAAGGGGAACAGAGCCCGAAGAGGACAUUUUCAAUUACCUAGAGCCACAGAGUUUAAAUCUUUACCAACAAUUUGAAAAUUGAAAAGAGAAAUAAGAAAAACUGUUUGCUACAAAACCGAUAAGAAUUAUGAAAUACGAAAGGACCCCACAUCACUGAGAAUAUAAUUGAUUCCUCAUUCUCAUCACGAUGUGGGUGAUGGAUUUUAAAAGGAAGUACUUGAAAAGUUUUUUUUUUUUUUUUUUUUGAAAAACCAUUUUUAGCACUUAAGAUUAGUCCAUAGAUUUCACACCGACUCCAUUCGGUAAAUGGUAACCAUUUUCUUCUAUUUUUAUUUUUGAAAAACUUAGUCCUAUUCUUCUUCAAUUUUUAUUAUGAUUUUUUACUAAAUUUUUAUCGUGGUUUUCAUCUUUUCAUCUCUUAAGUACAACAAGUUGAACUUUUAGCUAAAUUUUAAAUGAAAAACUAGCUUUUUAAAACUAUUUCUUUCAAGUAUUUCAAACUCAACCUUAUAAUCCAACUAGCUUCUACUAAGAUUUAAAUUUUAAUUCAAUUUGAUUUGGAGGUUUCAGCAUUUUGAUUUUUAAUCUCCAUUUUUAUUAUAAUGUUCAUAGGUUAAUUUAAAAGAUCUAUAGUUAAUUAAAUUUAACUACAUUUUCAUCACUCUUAAAAUGAAUUUAUAUUUCUCACUUCUUAACAAAUUUAAUUUUAUAUGUCAAAGACUUAGGUGAUUAUUUAAGUUAAUAAAAUAAAGGGUUAACUUUUUGGUAUAUAACAAAUUGAUGAUUUCAAAUAUAACAAAAUUAGUCAUAUUUAUAAGUAUACAAAAAUUUAGUUUUUAUUGGUGAUAAAUCUCAAUAGAUUGGAACACUUCAUUACUAAUAAAAAAAAUAAAAUUUUGAUAAAUUUGUAAAUACUUUUGAAUGAUAUUGUUAUUUAAAACAAUUUUGGUAUAAUAUAACAAAAUGUAAAGUAAAGGUAGAAGGAAAUAAGAUAAUAUGUGAAGCAUAUAAACCGAGUAAAAUGCGAACUUUCCUUCCGGUAUUAAUUAUUAUUUUCCAUCUAGUACCUCCGUAUACUUUCUCUUCACGUCGCAGAGUCAUCUGCCACGUCAUUACGUGAUCAUCUUAUUUUCCUUUGCAAAUUGCAAUGUCUUUCUACCCUCAUCUGCUUCUCUAAUUGUAUGUAUAUAUGACAAUAUCCUUCCGUACCACAACCGUUCCUUUUAGGAUAAAAUCAAAUUAGAUUAUAGCAAUUCCUAAUUCCGAUCCUCACCCACAGUUCUUCUGGGCUCUCUAUAACCUUCUCCAUUUUUCCAUUUAUCUCCAAAUUCCUCAUGUCUCUCUCUGCUCUAUCCAAACCCAAAUCCCUAACCCUAACCCUAAAUCUCCUCCGUCCUCACCUCUUCCGCCGUCCUUUCUCCUCCCCUUCCGAUCACGAUCUCACCGACCUCCCUGAAUCUCCUUCUUCUUCCGAUCCCCUUCUUCGCAACCUUGAGGACGCUAUUCAACGCAUCCUCGUUCGACGAUCUGCCCCCGAUUGGCUCCCCUUCGUUCCCGGCGCUUCCUAUUGGGUUCCUCUGCCUUCUAAUUCCCAUUUACCUCCCAUUGCCAACGUUCUUCGUAACUUGGCUAACCCUCUCUCUCCUGAACAAUCCUUGUCUACCACUACCGUCCGUGGCUGGCCCUCUUCUCAUUACUUCAUUCAAGGUAUUCCUCUUCUCUCGUAUUUCGUUUUCAUUUCAUCUCUACUCUCUCUCUUUCUUUAAAUUAUUUAUUUAGGAAAUAAAAUACCCUUUCAUCGUAGGUACGCAUCUUCCUUCUCUUGAUCCGGAGGUUGACACCACGUCGACUGAAUGUGAUGCUUCCCUUGACCACGAGGAAGGGUGAGAAUCCGAUCUGGGCGUGUUCCUAUUAGUUCUCAUACUAAACUAGUUUCUGCCCCUGUAGUGAAGUCUGAAUUAUAUUUUCUUUUGCUCUGCAAGUUAUUAGAUUUGUAUAUUGAGAGACUUUUAAUCAAAUAAUUAACUUGAUAGCUCCUUUCUUGUGGUUAAUUUCUACAAAUUAACACUCUUCAGAUUGUCACAUUCUCUACUUUCCUCUACUCUCACUUCAUAUUGCAACGAGAAGCACACUUCGGUUUGUAGCUUGCUUGGUGUUGUUUGAAAUCUUGUGUAAUUUUUGGAAGAUCAUUCCUUUUUAGGUUCAUCUACUCGCCGCGAGGUUGUUACCUUUCUCUUUUGAUAUUGUAACCUUGUUUCUUAAAAACAAGACUGUAGAUUUUGGGCGUCUAUCCAACAUUUCUUUUGAAAUUUUACUAUUGUUUUUCCCAUAAGAUUCCCACUUCAAUCAAGUUUUGAGUUCCCCUGUUAAAGACAUCUUAUUUGGAGGAAUAAAAGUGUGUUAUGCUCACAGUUCUAUGAGUAUCAUUUUUCAAACCAAUUUUACUAAAUUGAAAUUUGGCUACGCAUAUUUGUAUUUUAAAAAUCUAUUUUGAAUGGCUUGGAUGGGUUUCCUUUUUUGAGAAUAACUUAUUUUUUAAAUUAAAUUCUCGAAAAUGUAAUUCUAACACAUCAUCGUCAACUCCCACCGGUGAUCAUUAGUCAGUCGAAACAGAUUAAAAGGAAGAAGAAAUUGAGAAGAAUCAGCAAUUGAUUCAAGAUAAAAAGAAAAAAGAAAGAUGAGAAGUAGAGAUGAAGAUCAAGUAUUCCAUCUAUAAUGAAAUUUUGUGUAAUUGAAAAACAAAUUGGAGAUGAAAUAAAUCAUAUUAAUGAAUCAAUCAUAAUGCAAACGGAAUAGAAUUGCUUUUUGAUCACAUAUUAUGAAAAUUAAUUUGUAUUUUCUUAACGUACUAGAGUACAAAGCACAUGUGGCUCACUUCUUAAAUAACAUGGGAGGCAAGAAUAAUGGCGAACUAAUUGAUUGAGAAGAGAGGGAGAAGAAGAAAAAGAAAUAAAUAUAUAUACAUAUUUAUUUAAAGUUAAUUUCACCGAAUAUUUUUAGGCCGUGUAACAAAAUAAAAAAAAAGGAUCAACUAUUUUUUAUAAAUAAUCUUUGAAACAAUUAUUAAAAUAUUUUGUGUGUGUUUCUUUAAAAGAACGAAUUAGAACAAUGCAACUAUCAAAAACUCCAUAAUCAUGUCCCGAGCAGCAACUUCUUUCUUUCAAUUCUAUUUUCACCUUUUUUGUUAACCACUUUCUUUCUAUUUCCUGUUUUUGAAAAUUAAGCCUAAAUUUUAUCAAAUGAAAAGCUCUACUUGGAUCCAUGGCCACAUCCUAUCUUUCUGCAUUUUUAAAACCGUUUCUAUAAUCAAAAUUUUGACAGAAAAUGCAAAAUAUGAAGGAUGAUAUUAUACACAUUAACAUUAUAAUUUAUGGAUAAUGUCAACAUAAAAAACAAAUUUGUCCAAGGAAUAUACAUUGACAUAAUGAGAUUACAGAAACAUACAGCUUCAGCAUUCCCAAAUCUCAAUCCGAUUAGUCUUAGCCAAAGGUUUUUUCACUGCUGUAACACAUGUACAGAAAGCCAUCACCAUCCUUGUAUGAAUCGUACACCGUACUCAUUAAGCUAGCUGCAAUAAUCUGAGGUCAUUAGCAAACGAUAGCGAGGCACCAAAAUGGUCAAUAGCAUCAACUCAAGUGCAACUCUACCUGUUUGAGGCAAAGUAUUGUUUACAAAUACAAAGAGAGCUUUUCCAGGUGCUAGAUGAAGCCUGGUGCUUAGAACAUGGAUGAACUGCCCAACAGACAUGUCUCGAGGAAUGAGGUACCUUUACUCAAAUGAGAAAACAAAUGACAUUCUAAUAGAGAAAACAAAAUCGUGAUGACACAAUAUGCCACCAUGCUACAUUCGGAUCGAUCACAACUGCCUUUCAAAAUAUAAAGUGGGCUAUUUUAACUAUGUUCUUGUUUAUUUAUCAUAUUCAUGUUUCUACUUUUUGGUCGCUUCUCAAAAAUUUGUGUCUAGAAAGAUUUCGAAAACUUUGUAAACAAGAAACAAAAGAUCUAUCAAAAAAGUUCGUUUCUUACGAAAAUAAGAAAUGGGUAGGAAACAAGAAAUGAGAACAUUAUCAAGCAGACAAGGUGAGAAAUCUAUGAAACAUGGAGUGUUUUAUUUAUGACAAAAACAUGAUUCAACCAUCAGAAUGACACUAAAUUUACCAAGUUUCGGGAUGACUAUAUAAUAGAGAAUACCAUAAACUUAUAGCCAAACAAAAACAGACAUGAGCAAUCAAGAAAAGAGUGUAAUGCUAAUCUCUGCUUUCAUUCAAUUGAUUUUCAGAAACAGUUAAAUUAAAUUAGUGGAACAGAAACAUUGAGGAAACUCAAAACAAGAUGGAGAAGCUCACUUCUUCUUUUCCAUCUCAGGAAGUUCACAUUUCCCAUAUCUCUCAACAAUUACCUGCAAUUACUCGAAACAUCAAAAGGAAAACCGUUAAUUUACUUCCGUGUAUUUUGGAGGAAAUUAGCAUCUAUCUAUCUAUCAUUGGCACCUCACAAACAUAAGAAGAUUACAUAAUUGAGACUUCAUGUUAUUUUCCAUGUCAUUGAAUUUUAGGAACAAAAGUAGUGAAUGUUUCAUUUGUCUAAGCAACCAAAAUUGAAUUUGAAUACAAUCAACAAGCAGCUUCUCGCCACGAGUUAUGCGAUAAACCUCAUACAAGUUUGUUCUUGGAUAACAAAGAAAACAUUGACUAAAAUCAUUUGAUAACUUUAGAAUUUCAUUUCCCUAUAGCAAAACACGCAAGCUAUUCCGUAUUCCGCAGAGAUUUCGUAAAGAGGAAAACAGAUUGAAAAAAACCCUAAGAAUUCGACACCUGCAGACUCUCUGAAUCACCGAUAUUAUGUAUAUCGAAUAAAUUCACAAAUUCACCGUCAUAUUCUCUAAUAAAACACAAGUAUGAAGAGAAUCUUGCAACUUACGGGGAUUCGAUCAGGAUACUUGGCUAAGACUUCGAAGGACUCCCCAAAUCGUUGUUCUGUGAAAAAAUCAAGGCCAUAAUUAAACAAAAAAUAGAUAUAAAAGGAGAGAAAAACUGAUGAAAAAUUAGGAUGAUGAUGUAGAAUUUGAAGCCACAAAAAGUCAAUCAUACCGAAGGUGAACUCGUCCUUGAAGGAUUUGGUUCUUCCCAUUAGCGCUGUCUUUGCGUUGCCGUACAAAUGGGAAGAACGUAUAAAUAGAGAUAAUCCUUCCUACCUUUUGCUUUCUUUAAAUUCAAUUUUAAUUAACAAACACCAACUGUGGGACACAAUCUUAAACCAAAUAUAUGUCAAUUUAAGCAUUUUUAAAAUUUUUAAAAAACGUAGAUUUCAACACCGACCCGACCCGACCCGAUCCCUCCUUGAGCAUUUUCACUCCAACUCAUAUCUUCCACUUAGUUGAUUAUAUUGUUAUAUUCGAUUAUACUGAACAGAAUUUUUUAACAGAUCCAAUCCAACCCAAAAAAAACAAUCAAAAAUUUGAACCUAAUCAAAUCUAACUCAUAUUUAAACUAACUCAAUCCAACAUUUAUAUUAUAGGUUGGAUAGCGUUGUCGAGUUAUUUAUAUUAUUCUUACACAUCUAUUUUCAGGUGACCAUUUUCAAUUUGAUCUGUUUUGAUAUUAUGGUUUUUUUUAGUUUAUCAUACUUAGCUACCAUUUCUUUUUCAUUCAAUUUCCUUUUUUUUUUUGUCUGUUCAUCAAAUAAUUUCUAGCAUCCUGCCAAACUAAAAUUCUAUCCUCUUUUUGUGUUCUUAGACCAGCUGGAUUUUAUAAUUUCUUUUCCAAUGUAUUUAUAUCAUUAAAUGUAAUAAUAGAUAUAUAUAUGUGACUCUCUCCAUAUUUUUCUUUUGUAGUAUAAUGCAAUUACCAACCACUAAGCACUAAUUCAAUUUUCUUUAUCAUUAACAAAAUCUCUUCAAUGUUUAUUUUGGUAUAGGGAAAGAGUUAUAUAUACUUUUGAUUCGUAAACCUCUAAAUAGCUUAUAUUUAAAUAUUUGAGAUAUUUGAAUUUCAUUGCAUUUUAAAGUUCAUGUGACACUUCAUUUUUUCUUUUUAUUGAAAUUUUAAAACAUUUAUUCCUUUUUGUUUUUCCUCCCUCUUCCAUUUGUCUUCUUCCUUUACUGUCAACAACAAGUUAUCGUUGGCAGUAGAGUGACUUAUGUGAGUAUUAAGUUUGACCAUAACCCUAUGUUGGACGAUGAACAUUUGGUGCAACCAUUCCAAUAGAUCCAAAAAGAAUUAGAUUUUUGUUGAGAUUGAAAAUUUGAAAUCCUAUUCUUAGAUCUCACAAACUGAAAAUGCCUCAUUCUUUUUUAUCCUUUCUCACAAAGAGAUAACGUGAGAGUGGAGCCUUCAUGAUAAGAUGAAUGGAGUAUUGAAAACCAUAAAUUUUGUUUGUAGUCCUUUCAUUUUGCUACAAUAAAAAAAAAAUGAUUUUGUUACUAAUUAUUUUUUAAAAUGGUUUUUCAAGCACAUUAAUUUUGAUGAAUAUUAUUAAGAUAUUUUACAAAUGGUUGGUCCAUGGGAAAGUGAUUCAAAAACAUUGAUGUACACAUUUUGUCUUUUAAUUGUUUUUUUUUUUUAAAUUACAAUGACGAGUUUGUAUUCCUUUCGAUCCAUUCAAUAUAAGUAUAUUAGUUUUGUUUAAUUAUAAAUAUCAUCCUUUAAAAGAGAUUACAAGAAAAAUCAUUGGUUUAGGAUAAUAAGAAAACACGUCAAGAUUAGAAGAUUCAAACCACAAAUUUCUUAUUCGUUAAUAAAUAUUAUUUGUCAAUUGAACUACACUUGAUAGACACGUUUUAUUUUAGUUCAAAUCAAAUACGAUGGUGAGAAAAGUAUAAGUCUUUCGACCAUAGAAAAUGCAAUAAAUGAAGUUUGAAGGACAUAGAAAGAGACACGAACUCUAACAAUUUGACGUUUAGUAAAUUUGAAGGGUAAAAGAGAUUUAUAUUAGGUUAAAAUACUAUUUUCAAUCCCUAUACAGUUUGAUUUUAGUUCUUAUAUACCUUUCAAUCAUUCUAAUUAAAAUUUGGAUAUAUUGUUUGUUUUAUUGAAAGAAAAUUCUUUAUGAUAAAAGAAAACAAAUUAUAUAUUUUAUUUGGGACAAAUCACAAGAUUAAGUGUUCUCAAAUUACAUUAAAAAAAAGCAUGAAAAUGGGCAAAUCAAAUUAUGGCAUUGUGUAUUCAAUGGUGAGAGCUGGUGUAAUCAAAUGCUACAUGGUGUGGUUGGACUUGAGAUUAAUUUUGCUUGAGCACGCUAAUUAGAAUAAUAAUUAAAGUUGCCAAAGCUAAAUAGUCUAAAAGUAUUGAAAGAGAUUGAAAAUUGAAGUCUAAAUUAUAAGCCUAAGUCCAAAACUUAGACCCAAAAGUUAGAUUAGUCUAAGCCCAUACAAGAUCCAACAUUCAAAUAAUAACAAAAAAGAUAAAUCAACAAAUUUGCCAUAUCCUCUUCAUCACUUAUAAUUUAAAAGUUCGAACAUUCAUCAUCACUAAUACGAGAAUAAGUUGACAACCUUUGUAUUAUUUAAAUGAAGCAUCAAUAUCUAAACAACAUUGAUUUACGAUCAUGUACCUAAUCCAUUUAUAUUUAGUAGAAGAUCGCGUACCAAUAUCAUUUAGAUUUGAUGAUACGAUCAUGUACGUAUCAAGAGUCAAACGACUGUGUACCAAGAUCUUUUAUAUUUGAUACACAAUACUGAACUAAGAUCGUUUAGAUAUUAGUAUACGAUCGUUUAGAUUUAAAAGUUAAAAUAUAUGAGAGAUGACGAAAGAAAAGAAAUUUUAGAGGAGAAAAUAAAAAAUCACGAACAAAAAUCUACGAAGGAGAAGUAAUAAUAUAAAGAAAUGAAUAAUACGAGAUAAAAUGAAUAAAUAACAAAAAAAGAAAAAUAAGUGAAAAAUCGUCCAAAGCAAGUAUGUAAUUUAUAAAAAUACCACAAAUCUACUCAUUUUUAUUUGGUUAUAUUUAUGAAAAUUAAUAUUUUUUUAAAUGAAUAAGUUUAUUUCUUUUAUAAAAUAGUUUCAAUAAAUAAUAUAUAUUCUAUUAAUGUCAAUUUCUGGUUUUAAAAAAACAAAAUUUAUUUUUGGGAAAAUAGUUAUUUGGAUUAUUUGAUAGUUGGAAAAUAAAGAUUGUACCGUCCAAUUAAUAAGGGUUUGUAAGAAAAGGGUAAGAAUUGGAUAAAACAAGCUCACAUGACCAACAUGUGCUGUUUUAAAUGUCUCAUACUUCUCCAACAAAAUAAUUUUCAAAUAAUACAUAUUCAGAUCUACUAUACCUUAUUUAUUAUUUCAAAAACAAAAACCACUUUAGUAUCAAAUCAAAUAUGAAGCUAAACUAAUUAAUUCAUUAACAUGCUGUUACAAAUAUUUUAUUAAUUAAUAUAACAAGAAGAUCACCAAAUGAUUAACAUUUUACUACUCUUCAUUGUCCAACCCAAAUUUUCAUGCUUUUCCACUACUCAAUCAACCUAUUAAAAUGAGACCUUCCAAGUUGACAAAGUUCCGUUCAUUCAUAGAUUUGAUUUAUACGUGUCAAUUGCAUUUCAAACGUUAGAAGUUGCAUUUCAAACGUUAGAAGAAGACAUACCAACGUUUAUCCAAAUAUAACCUUAGUAAAUAAAAUGAUCCCAAGAUUAAGUUUAUCUAAGUAGAUUUUUCCGUUAGCUGUUCAUAAUUAAUUAAUUGAUGAGUUUAAUAUCAGUUAAUCAUUAAUAUUCAUUUUUAUUAAUUAUUAAAUAGAAAUGUGUUAUUUAGAGGAUUUUUGUAUGAACCAAUGUUUUAUUUUUUAUAAUUUCCCUUAUUUCAGCAAAUUUUAACUAAUCUAUAUAUCAUUUUUAACUAUUUAAUAUUAAUUAUUAAAACUACAAUUAAGAGAAGAAGGUCUCUAUAGCAAAAUAUUAUAAAUUCGUACAGAUAAUAAUUUAAACUAUUUAUAUAUCAAGAUUGUCUAGAUAUUAACUGCCUAUCCCAAAUAGUUAUGUGUACCAAAAUCAUUUAGAUUUUUAAAUUUGGUACAAGAUGAGUAUUAAGAUCGUUUAUAUUUUUAGAUUUGAUAUAAAAUUGUUUAAAUUUGGUAUAAAUAUCAAGAUCUGAAUAUUCAUAUACCAAGUUUUUCGCACUUGUGUAUGUUUGAUUAAUCAUAAGGUUUUUUCUUUUACGUUUUUAAACUUUUAUGUUUUUUAAAUUAUUCUAAAAAUAUUUUCAUAUUUUAUUAUAUUUUUAAAAAGUAGUUUAUUUUUAAAGGAUUAAAUAAUUAAUCAAUAUAAAUAUACAACAAUAUAUUAAAAUAACUAACUACUAACAUAAUUCCUUUUAACUUUUCUAUAUCUAAAAUAUCUCAAUCGUAUGUAACAAAAUUUUAGAUAUCGAUCACAAAAUUAAGAGAGGUCUGAAAUUUUUUAAUUACAUUUUGUGAUAUUGUUUGAACAAUUUAGUUGUUUAAAAUAAUAUUUGUUUAGGUUAGAAAAUAAAAAUAAUAAUUAGUAGUAGGGGAGUGAGGAGUUGGCGAGUAGUGUCGGUGGAGAUCUAAAAGAAAUGAAUGUCGAAAUGUCGGCAAAAGGAAGCUUUACAGAUCAUUACGAUCGUGCCGAUAACAUCACCACAACCCAUGCACGUCACUCUCACUUCUCCAUUUCCCACUCUUUUCUUUUCUUUUCUUUUCUCCUUUCUCAAUUAUAUUCAUUCUUAAUUACCAAUCAUUUUUUAUUUUCAUUUCUAAAAUAAAACCAUUUCUCCCCUUCUACAUUCAUGUCUCAAAACUAUGAGUUGUUCUUUUAUAUAAACAAAAUUAAUUGGUUGAAAAUGUGUAAGUAAGUUUUUAGGGAUUUAAUUUUGCAUCUAUCUAAGGCAUUUAAGUUAUUUGUGAGUUGUAAAAUUUAAAAAAAAAAUUAAAAGAAAAAGAAAAAGGAAAUAAUGCAUGUGAUGAAGGGUCAAACUUAUAGAUGUUUGUUGGGGUAUUUGUGAAGUGAAAGACCAAAAAUCAUAAUAAUAAGACAAUUUUCAUACACUUUUGCCAACCAAAUGAUAGAUGGCAAACCUAAACGAUGCCGCGUUGAAAGAGAAAAUAAUCAACUUUAUUUAUUUGCCCCCAAAUAAGGUGCUUACAAAAUAUCUUUCUUUCUCUUUUUCUUAAAUGUUAAAACCGCUCACAUCAAAUCAACUAAUGCCUAGACCAACUAAUACCUCGACCAGAGAUCACGGAUUCAUUUUUUUCGUUUUCAAAUAUGGUAUUACAAUACAUUUGAGAAGGUAAAACUAAGAAUAGUAUUGUUUAAACAAAAAGCUUAAUAAAUAUGAUGUUAGUUAGUUAGGUUAAAGAGUACACUUUAUUAGGCAUCCAUCGUUAUAACUUGAUUAGCCUUCCAAUUUUAAUAGCUACCAAUUUAGUUUUAACUCGAUAGAUAUGGUUUGUUUGAAUAACUCAACCGAAGUUUGAAAAGAAAAUUUUCAUCAAAGAAAACUGAACCAAAAUAUAGUAAAAUUUCAUGUAUUUAUAUCACAGAAAAUCACCGAUACACUUUUAUAAAAUCUAAAAUUUUGCUAUAUUUGAUAAAUUGUUUCAAUGGUUUUAUCAUUUACAAUAAAAAUACAUGUGUUUGACAACUUAUUCUAAAAACGUGCUUUUAAGUACAAAUUUGUUUGAUUUGCUAUAUACUAAAAACGCUUUUAUUAAUUUUAAAUUGCAAUAAAAAAAAUAGUCAUAUGGGAAUAGUAGUUGAAAGUGGCCAAUUGACCAUAAAACAAUCGCCAAAGACCAUAGUCCAUUGAUUAAAAAGUGUUUACAUGCGAUAAAAAUAUAUUACAAUUUAGUUGGGUACGACAAAUAUAAUAUCUCAUUCUAAAUUAAAAGUAAAGAUUAGUUUUUACAUUAAAAAAUGGGUAGGAGGUAAGCUAAAGUGGUUUUAAUAUAUUUGUUAAUGACUUUGUUCACAUGCUUAUUGUUUUGUAAUGCAUGUACUUUUUAGAGAUGAGAUGAGACAAAGAAACACCUAAUAAUUGGAACUAAAUGAGAAUGAAAAAUAAAAUACAUCAAUGUGUAAGUUUUUACAUUUUUAGAAUUGUUUUGAAAACAUUAAGGCUUUUCAAUUCCACCUAAAAUUAGUAUUAAAAAUCCACAAUUUUAAAUGAAUAACAACUACUUUUGUUUAAUUAAAUUAUACUAAAUAGGAAAAGUUUCACUUCACUCUCUCAUUUUGCAAAUUGUCUUUAAAUAAGAUGAAAAUUGUUAAUGUGUGAUGACAUCAUUUAAUUUGCAACAAGUAAAUAAAAUAUUGAUUAGGUAAUUCAUAUCAACCAUAUCUUUCAAUAUUAAAUAAUACAAUAUAGCAACAUUAAUAGUCUGUAUAAUGAUCGUAAUUAAAUCACAUAUAUAAGUGCUUUCUGACCUUUACACAUCAUUUUCCAUAUUUCAUUUUCACGAAAAAACAUAAAGCUUUUAACAAAUUUAAACAUUAGUGGUAUUUUUAGAACAAAUUCCAAAAUAAAAAAUAAUUUAACUCAAAAUUUAAUGAUACAAUUGAAAAAAUCUUAAAAUUUAGAAACAUUUUUAAGAAGAAUUAUUGUAAAAUAUCUAGAUAAAUUUUUUUGCUAUAUACACUUAUUUUUAACAUAAAUAGUUAUCCAUUUCAAACACGUUUUAAAAAAUUUCAUAAGGAAAAAAAGAAAUAACGUUAAAGUCUCUUUAAUAUACAUACGUAUCUAUAUUAUUGAUUUAUAAGAAGACAAGUUAGUGUGGGCAACCUUCCAAACAAACAUAAAGAGCUCUCAUUUCAUUAUUUCACCAUGAUCUUUUCAUCAAACUCCUAAAAAAUUGACAUGUCUCAUUAUCAACGUUUCUUUCUUAUCAGUUCACCCCAAAUUGAUUUUAAUUUUGCUUCCUUCCUAUUUUGAAAUUCUUGGUUUUAUCCUUUUAUUUUUCUUCCUUGGUAUUUUGACCAUGGAAAUAUGGUUUUUUCUUAAAUUAUAUUUUUUUUAAAGUAAAGAAUUACUCAAAAUCAGAACAUUCUUUUCUUUUUCAUUUUGAACAAAGAGACGUCAUCUUUUAUAAUUUAUUUAAAACGUUUCCUCAAUUUUUUGUGUCCAUAUUCAUAAAUCCCCGCAGCCCCACAACUUUCUCAUCGGACAAUCGGACCCGCCUCUGUAGUCUCCGUCGCACCGACGGCCGGGACAACUUCUUGGCGGCGGUCACCGGUCAGCCCAACCGUUUUCAACGGCUUCAUUUUUGUUAAAAUCUGAUUUUGGUUUGGGAUUGUUUUUCCAAGGCCAAAAAGAAAAUAUUAUAUAAUAAUCUUAAUUGUUUUAUGGAUGUUUGGUUAAAUUAUUUUUCUUUUUGUAAAAUCACUUUUAAGUUUUAAUUUGUUUAAACCUAAUAUUGAUUUAAUUGGGAACUUUGUGUCAUAUCUUGGGUGGUGGGAACCGCAGCGCACCUAUCUUGGUCCCAAACAAACCCCAACCACCUCAUUCCUCCCUUUUCUUUAUAUCAAUGUUCCACGUGACAAUAAUCACUAUACCAUUCUUUAGAAAUCAAUUUUUUUAAAAAAAAAACUUAGAGUGCGUUGGUUGAGAUUAUAGAGUGUUUAAUUUUGCCAAAAAAAACUAUUUUAAAGAAAAUGAUAGUAUUUGACAAAUUAAAAUAAUAUAUUUUCUAUCUUUAAAAACCAAAUUCUAUUUAAAUCUUAAACUCAUUUCUCACAAAGUGUUUAAAAUAAAUGUAUUAUUGAAAAAUAUUUUUUUAAUUCAAUUCAAACGUCGGUAAAAGAUUUAAUUUAUUUUUUUUAAUUAAACACUUAAAAUUAUUCUAAAUAUAUUCGUAAAUAUUUAUUCAUCUAUUAAAUUAACUUAUUAAAUGAGUUGAAUUUACUUGAAAUUUUAUCCAGUAUUUAACUUAUUAAAUGAGUUGAAUUUACUUGAAAUUUUAUCCAGCACUCAAAGGUUGAAUAUGUUUUUAAAUCAUUUUGUUUUGUUUUAUUUAAAAAACUAAACAUGUAUUAUUAUUGCAUUGCAUGUGAAUCUUUGUUAAGUUCAUGCAUGUAAUAGCUUUUGUCAUUUUCUUGUAUAGAUGGUAAAUGGUUUCUUUUUUUUCUAAUUUUGAAAAAAAAAACUCCUUCUCGUUUUGUGAAAAAAUGAAUUGUUAUAAUGUAUAAAAUAAAAUUUAAACUCAAUUUAAAAACUAUCACUAUAUAUAUAAAAAGAUGGAGGACAUUCUCGAUAGGGAUUCGAUUUUCCAAUAAUAUAAAUAUUCGUUCCUAAAUACACAAGGAUGACACUAUUUUCUCCAUAAAGGUUAGAAUGAAGACUUUCCUGACUCCAGUAUGCCACAUCAACCCCAAUUAUAGGAGAAUUUAAAUAUAUGAUAUUUUGGUGAACAAUAUAUAUCUUAAUCAAUUGAAUUAUAAUGUUUUAAAGUUGCAACAGUGUAUGAGAAAAUAAUUAACUUUUCCAUAAAGUUCAUACAUUAUACUGUAGGUCAAUACUUUUACUUCAUUUGAUCACAUGAUGUUUAUAGGAGGAUUUUUCCUUUACAAUCACAGGUGAAAUCAGUUUUAAUUUGUUUUGAAUUAUAUUAUGGAUACGUGGUAUUAAACUUAUGAUCAAAAUUUAAUUAGGUAACAUCACAUCACACUUUAUCUCAACUUGAGGGUAUAUUAUUCUAAGCCACACAAGUAAUUUCUUUAAGAGGCAAAAUGUGAUAACAAUAUCCUAAUCUAAUUCCACCAUGAAAUAAAAUAAUAUAAUAGAAAAACUUGAGGUUAUGUCACGUGUCAAACCCUAUGGUUAAAAGUUUGGUUAUGAUGAUUUUCAACAUUCCUUUUGAAAGGAAAGGAAAAGAAAAGGAAAUUUGAUGUAAUGCAACCUUGGUUGGUGACCAAAAAUUACUUCAUCUUCACUUACCUUUAAAUAAUGAAUUUGGAAUUCUUACUGCAAACUUGGGUUGGUGAUGAUAGCAACAUUUUAAGUGAAGUUUUAUUUUUUAAAAAAAAAAAACUAAGUAAAUUUUAUAAUAAAAUUUAAUUAUAGAUUUAUUAGGUAAAAGUUAAAUCGUAUUAAAAUUUUAUCUUAGAAACAACGAGAUCUAAAGAGAAUUGAAAUGCAUUCGUGGUGUUCGAGAGAAAUAAAUGUUACCGAGGUUAAAAUAAUAAAUUUUCUAUCUUUUCAAAUUUUAUAUCUAAUGUCAUCAUUUUAUAACGAUUUUGCUUUAUAUUAGAUAAAAAUAUAUUUAAUUUAAGAUUAUUAAAGAUUGUAAAAUAUGUUAAAAGUGUGUAAAAUAAUUUCAAAGUUCAUAGGCUCGUGGACACAUUUAAGAAAAGCCUACCAGUUUAUUUAAAAAUAAAAUAAAAAGUCUAUAAAACAAAAAAUCAAAGUUAAGUAUAUAAAAAUGAAGAAAAGAGCAAACACUUGAGAAAAGAGCUUAGAAAAGAAGCAAAUCUUUAACGUCUUUCUUGAUUUGGUGACACGCGUGAGUUUUGUUUUUCUAGUUCAAACAAAAAUUCAACAAACAUAUACAUUGAACAAUGACAAAUUUUGAAAUUCUAAAACUUACCAUAAUAACAAUACAAAUUUACUUUCUUUUACUUUCUUUUACUUUCAUUUCAGUUCUCAAGUUAGUAAAAGUAUAUCCACUUGGUUCAAAACUUUUCCAAAUAAAUUUAAAAGUUAAUAAUAAUAAUAAUAAUAAGGCAUGGAGAUGGUGGUGCGGUAACAAUUUGCCUUAAAAUGAGUGCGAGAAGGGAGGUGUUGAGUCGCACUCAUGGCCGCGUGUUUCCAAGAAAACUCUCCCAAUUUAUCCUUUCACUUCAACCCAAAUUUAUUGUUGUGGUAAAAAAUAAAGAAUUCCAAAUUUUCCUUUUUUCUCCUUUUGCUUUUUCAGAUUUAAAUUAGACGCGUAAUAAAAGAACUUAAAUAGCUAUUGUCCAAUCAUCAUCCACCACAAACUCUUUUGUAUAUCGCACAUAUCCCAUCCAGAUUCAUCCUAUUUUUAUAAUUCAAUUUAAACAUUUUCAUCCUAUACUUUUAAAUUCUUUUUUUAAUUUUAUAUACAUUUAAUAUAAAAUUCUACUAAAACUAAAAGAAUUAAGAUUCAACAAAUUUUAAAUUAUAUAAAUCAAAAAGCGAGUUUAACCCAUUUAUUUAAUUACCUUUUAAAAUAUAUUCUAUAAAAUUAACUUGUGCAGGUUUAUUUCGUGACCAAAGAUUCAAUUAAAAAUUAAUUUAUACACAAUUACAACUAAUAAUUUGAUUUAAGCAAGAUUUAAGUCACAAGAAAUACUAAACCAAUGCCAACCCAAGCUAAAUACUUUAGACAUUCAUUUAGGUAUUAGAGUUUAUUAACUUUGACACCACACUUAAGCAACUUCAACAAUAUAUUUCAACCAAAUUAACGAGAAAGAGUUGUGAAUGAUAAACUAUGUAUUGAGAUAUAUUUCAUCUCUUUUUUAGUUAAGUAUCUCGUAGAUAAUAUCUAAAAUAUUUUCUACUUGUACCUAGAUUUCUCGUUUACUUUUUCUUGUCAUAAACCGUAAAAGAUAGUAAUUUUUUCUAUGCUAUAAAUAAUAAGUUUCAAAAUGUUCAAAUGGUUCAUGUAAGCCAAGACAUGUUCUUAAAAGCGACCCAAAAAAAUUAAAAACAAAAAGCAUUUAUGAAAUUCGAAUUUAAUCAAAUCCUAAAUAUUUUUCACUAAAAAGAUUGAACAUAAAUGGGAUAUUUUUGUUUUCAAACUGGCAAGCCAGCAUGCAGCACGUUGUUGACGUGUCCUUCCACGUCGGAUUCUAUUUAUAUAUUUUUACCACAGUAAAAAGAGAAUAAAAUUAAAGUCGUUGACUCUUCUUUAGCCGGAGAAGCGCGUGAAGCUGAUGCCGGAUACAAAUCGGCAAAGCCCCGACACGUCAUCAAAAUAAUAGUAUCAAAUAUUGUCCCUUGGAUCUCCCUUACCAACUCUAUUUGAACGGUCACGAUCUUCCACGUCCAACGUUCGGAAGAAUCUUUUCGAAAUUCCAUGGCUAUCCCUAUAAUCCUCCCUCUUGGCUCCCUAGGGCAUCCCAACCGGUUAUUCCGGUAGCCGGGAAGGUGGGUGGACACUAUAAAUACCUGCUUUGUUCAUCUCGUAGUCCUUGUACCGUUGAGCUUCGCCUUCUAAUUGAGCUCUGGUUCGGUUGGCGUUUUAGCUCGAUUUCUUCCUCUAUUUCAGAUCUACGCUGCCGAUUUCAUCAGGUUUGCGAGCUCUGUUCCACCAUUUUUCUUUUCGUCAAUCUUUGUUUUCUCAUUUCCUCCUUUCUUCGAUUCUUUAUGAAUGGAUUUAGGGGAAUUUUCUCUUUUUUGUAUUCUAGUGGUACUGGUAGAUUUGUUUCAAGUUUGUUUCUCUUCUUCUGAGACAUGAAUUCUUCCAGAUCUGACAGUUUCUUUUGAAUUUUUCUUUCGGAAUUAGUGAAGUAUACUUCCAUACUGUUUUGUGCUCUCUGAGAUUCUGGAUCUCGGGCGUUGGGGUUUUUUAUUGGCUUUUGGUACCUAUGUUUCGUUUGUCAGCUUGUAUUUGUCAUUGUUGAAUCGUUCGAUCCGGUUUGUAAGUAAAAUAAAUUUUGUGGGCGCACUUGUUUUCCACGGUUUUCGUCUUACGGUUUCAUGAUUCCCUAGAUCUCUGGUUAGAGCUAGGUUUUUUGUUGGUAAUUGGAUUUAGUAGGGGACUGUCUCUGUGGUUCAAUCGUAGAUCCAGUCAUCUUCUACAUGAGUGUAGGACUCCUUAGGGCAGAUCUUGUGUUUUCUAAUUUUAAUUUUGUUGCUUCCCUGCUUUUGAACCUGUUUGGUUGUUCAGAUUCGUCGAGUCAUUUCCAUUUAUUAAAAGUUUCUAUAAUUUUCUUUGAAUCUUCUGAAUCUGUGCUUGUAUUACCCAGAUUUCUAUAAUCCUAUCUUGAUUUCAAGUGUGUUGAUAUUUUCAAGCUUAAGCAAUACUGAUGUGACUAAAACUUAACUAAUGGACUGAGUGUUUUUUUGUACGCGAACUAAUAUGGUGUUUUGUUAUGUUUCAGAGAUGGAGACCUUUCUAUUUACCUCAGAAUCCGUAAACGAGGGUCAUCCCGACAAGCUCUGUGACCAGAUCUCCGACGCGGUGCUUGACGCCUGCCUAGCUCAGGACCCCGACAGCAAGGUCGCAUGUGAGACCUGCAGCAAGACCAACAUGGUCAUGGUCUUUGGAGAGAUCACCACCAAGGCCAAUGUGGACUAUGAAAAGAUUGUUCGAAUGACACUGAACGCGCGAAACAUUGGAUUCAUUUCCGACGAUGUGGGUCUUGAUGCUGACAACUGCAAGGUCCUGGUUAACAUUGAGCAGCAGAGCCCAGAUAUCGCUCAGGGUGUUCACGGCCACUUCACAAAGCGCCCUGAGGAGAUUGGCGCUGGUGACCAAGGGCACAUGUUUGGCUAUGCCACUGAUGAAACCCCUGAAUUGAUGCCUCUUAGCCAUGUCCUCGCCACCAAACUGGGUGCUCGCCUCACUGAAGUUAGAAAGAACGGCACCUGCCCCUGGUUGAGACCUGAUGGCAAGACCCAAGUCACUGUUGAAUACUACAACGACAAUGGCGCCAUGGUACCCGUCCGUGUCCACACAGUUCUGAUCUCCACCCAACACGACGAAACCGUCACCAAUGACGAAAUCGCCACAGACCUCAAAGAGCAUGUCAUCAAGCCAAUCAUCCCCGAGAAGUACCUCGACGAGAAGACCAUCUUCCACCUUAACCCUUCAGGCCGUUUUGUCAUUGGUGGCCCUCAUGGUGAUGCAGGUCUUACGGGACGCAAGAUCAUCAUCGACACCUACGGUGGUUGGGGAGCUCACGGUGGUGGUGCUUUCUCCGGAAAGGAUCCCACCAAGGUCGACAGGAGUGGUGCCUACAUUGUGAGACAGGCUGCUAAGAGCAUUGUCGCCAGUGGGCUUGCACGUAGGUGCAUUGUCCAAGUCUCUUACGCCAUCGGUGUGCCAGAGCCACUAUCCGUUUUCGUCGAUACAUACAAAACCGGGAAGAUCCCCGACAAGGAAAUCCUGGAAAUCGUGAAGGAGAACUUCGACUUCAGGCCAGGAAUGAUCACCAUCAACCUUGAUCUAAAGAGGGGUGGCAAUGGCAGAUUCUUGAAGACUGCAGCAUAUGGACACUUCGGAAGGGACGACCCAGAUUUCACCUGGGAAACUAUCAAGCCACUCGAGUGGGAGAAGCCUCAAUCUUAAAUGGAUAGCGGAUUCGUUUGGUGGUCUCUAAUUCCUUACAAUUCAAUAUCUGGGGAUUGUUGUUACUUCAUGAUGAAUGAUUUUCGUGUUAUCUUUUUUCUUUUUUCUGCUGCUUUAUGUUCUCCAAAGCAAAUUAUAUUCGUUCUAUUUCCUUUUCCUAGUUUAAAUCUUCUUGUAAUAUUUUUAAUAUUCUAAAUACUAUCAAUGGAAUGAAAAAUCAUUUUGUUAAAAGCCUUUUUCUCCCUUCCAUUCUUUCAUCUUUAUUUAAUGAUUUUGAGUUGAUGAUGUUUACACAUUAUGCUAUAAUCUUGCGGAUGAAAUGGGGUUUUAAUAUUUGAUCAAUUUCUUAUCCUAAAGUGAGUAAAUGACCCCUACUUGCUUAACUCACCUAAUCGUAAACCUAACCAUCAAAUUAAAACAUUUAAUAUAAUUAAAGUUGAUUACCUCUCACUAAAUUGUUAAUGAUUGGUACAAAUCCUUCUACCGUAGUUAAAGUGUCAUUACUUGCUUACGUGUUUAACAUUUUGUUUUUGUCUAAGAAUGUCAAACGUGCAUGUUCCUCUUCAAUAAAUUACAUGUGGAAUGAGGUUAGGAUAUAUUAGCUCAAAUUGGCCAAUGUCCAUCUUUAAUUAUCAAAUUAGACUGUAAUAAGAUGGGAAUUUAAACCUCAAUUGGAAACCCCAAUGGGACCAAAAACCAUUUGUUAAAUAAAAUAGCCUACAAAAUGAUUAGUUAUUAGUUACUAAAAAUGCUGUGGCUCUCAAAAUCCUCUUUUUAAGUCAAAGCAAACUUUGGCCAAUGAGACAUUUACAAAUAAAAGCUUAGUCAAUUGGACUUCCUUCCAUUUUGAACAUUCCUUUUUGUAGGGACCAAAAAUGAGAAACAAACUCUGAUUUUGGAUAUUAUAUAAUAAGUUGAAUAAUAAAUUAAAAAUAAAAGAGAUUUCUAUAAGAAAACUCUCAUAAACCUAAGUUUUGAUGUCAAUAUGUGCAUAAUCAUUUGAAAUAUUUUCCUAAUCAUUUGAAAUAAUUAUAUAAUAUUUAAAAUUAGAUAGACAGUUUUUGCAAAAAUAAUUGUAUAGAAAAUUUGAUAAUUCCUAGAAGUUGUUUUUUAGGACAAUUUUUUUUUAAAAAAAAUAAAUUAAAAUAUUUAUCAACUGUAGUAUCAAUCCUUAUUAUUGAUAGAAUAUAAAAACUUUUGUCAUAUUGUAAAUAUUUUGUCAAAUUUAAUAUUUUUAAAAUUUUUUCUUUUUUCUUAUUUAAAAUGACAUAUAACUAUUUAAAAUAAUAAUAAUACAUUUAUUUAAAUAAUUUUUAAAUUCUUUUAAAAAAAUUAGAAGACUAGAAUAACCUAUUCCAAAAAUGUAAAUGACUUCGUGAAAUUAUAUCUAUACUUUCAAAUAUUACGAGUAAUGUACGUGACAUCUCUAUUUUCCUCUGGAUGAAUCCUUAGAAUUAUUACCUUUGCUUAGCAUUUAAGACUGUGGAUAGUAGAAUCUGUAAUAUGUGUGAUUGAAUUAUUUCUUUCUAAUGUAUUUUUGACAAAGAUGAUAUCCAGAGGAUGUGUAAAUUGGUGAUAUUUCCUAUAAUGCUCUUUUUGGUUAAUUUCAUCUCCCUUCUUUUUCUUUUAAGUCUCACAAUAUUUUAUCAAAACACACCUUGAUAGAUGAUUCAAAUUUAUAAGUUUAAAAUAUAUAAAUUUAUAAGUUCUUUAAUUUCUUACCAUAUUUAUAAUAUAACAAAGUAAAGCAUUAGCUAUGUUUGUAACUUUUGUUAAAAUUUUACACCACAAUUAUUAGAUGAAUUUAUCACGGAUAUUUUUGUACGUCUAUAAAGUAUUUUUGGGCGUUCAAUGAGCUUUUUGGACCAUUUCUAUGAAUGAUACUCUUUUUUUCUAUUUUUACAUUUUCCUACAUUUAUGGGUAUGGGAAUUGGUAUGAAUAGUAAAAAAGGAAUAAGUUCGAUAAAAUUUAGGGAAAUUUUUAAAAAUUGUAGAUUUUAUAAAAUACUUACGGCCUAUAUCAAAUUCUAUCACGAACACUAUCACUCAUAAUCCAAAUUUUGUUAUAAUUUGUAAAUAUUUUAAUUUAUUUUGUUACUUUUAAAAAUGUUCGUAAAAUGUAAAAAGUUUCAAUAUUUGUUUAUUUUUUUAAAUAAUCUCUAAAUGGGUUGGUGUAUUCCUUAUUAUUCCUAAAUCUAACCCCUCAAAAUGUCACCCGCCCUUACAAUUACCCUUUAUUUUUCUUCACACACCAUCUCUGUUAAGAUUUAGAUAUGGGCCGGCUCGCUGGACCCCGUUGGGCCAAAGGGCCCAUAUCACAAACCAUUUUAAUCCAAAAUUAAUUGACCUAAAAAUCUUGCUAUGAGUCAUUUUAACUGUCUCUAAAAAUUCAUAUAAGAAUAUAAUUUUAAAAUCAAAUAUAUCAUAACCUAUCGAUUUAACUUUAUUUAAUAAAGUCAAAGAUAAAUGUAUCAAUAUCAAAUUUAGAAAUUACAAAAUACAUUAUUGUAAAUGAUUUGUCUUUAUCAUUUAAUUUGACCUACAUUCUUAAAACCAAUAUAACUAUUGAUUAUCAUCCAUAAUAUAUCAUCAACUCCAAAUUUAGAAUAUUCCUUUAUUAUUAUUAUUUUCAGCUUAACAGCAAUUUUGACAUUAAUCAAACUAUUAAAAUAUGCCAUGAAGUAAUAAGAUAUUAAUUCCAUGUGAAACGACUUGUCGUUUUUCCAAUAUCUUGGUCAACUACAGCUCUCCCAUCAAUACCAUUCCGCCACGUCAUACAUCAACUUGCCACCUUCCGAAAUCAUUCUCAGCCGUCCAUCUUUUCGAUCUUGACGGUCAAAAUACUGAACAAAGAUCAACGGCUGCGAUUUGAAAUUGCAGUGGAGGCUCAAUUUUUUUAAUCCACGAAUCGUUGCCCCCAAAGUUCUCUUCACUUGCAGUUACUGCUUGGAAUAAAUGGAUGAAUAUGAAACGUAAUGCUCUGUCUCAAUGCGUAUUACAAACGGAAGACGAAGGUCGCCGGCGAAAAUUGAUCGGAAGUAGGAGACGACUGGCGAAGUUCAACGAGGUCAAGUCAAAGAAAGCUCGACGACUUCGUUCUACCAAGCAGUCGCCUGCUUCGAGGUUUCGCUUUUGUAUGUAUAUAUAUUUUAUUAUAGCCUCCGUUCUGAACGCGAGCGACCUGUCAUUACUCUGACUGAAGCAUUGAGGACUUGUUUCUGUGGAAUUUCAUAUCUGAUCAACGGUAUGAAUCGGUUUCUUCUCAUUUUUACUAGCUACCUGUUGAAUUGCUGAUGCUUUCUCUCUUUAAAUGUUAAAGAACAUGCAUGAUUUUGAUGUGCAGUGUAUUGCUUUACUAGGUCCGCUAAAUUAAGCUCAAUUUGCUGUCAGUGCGGAUUUCGGAGUUUUAGCUUUUGAAUUGUGAUCGACGAGGUGAUUUAUCGCCUUCUUUUUCGUUAGUUUGUUAUACUAAUCUUCUUGAUAACGAUUUUUUUCCUGAGAACUGCAUGUACGUGCGGCUUUUUAUCGGAUCGUUUUCUUUUUUAUUGGUUUGUUUUACUCGUUCGUUUGAUGUAACUAGAGACAUUUUUCGAAAUCCAACCCAACGUUAAUCAGUAUUCUUGCGAGUCCUUGUUAAUAUUUGUUUAAUUUCCGGUUCUCUAGUGUUUAUUUGAAUUCUUCAUGUGAAGUUGAACACAUUUCUGGUUAAUACUUCCUGUUUGUAAGGCUGUUCAUCAUCUGUUCUAACAACGACAUUUUUUCGUUUUCUGUAAUGUCAUUUAAGCAAUAUUGUCAGACGAAGAACAUAAAGUAAUUAGUUGUUCUAACGACUAUUUUUGCACUUGGAGAUGGACAAAGAUUUCCAAUAAUUUUUAUUAACUUACUAAUUUUGGCAUCAGUUGGCGCAUCUGUGAACAAAGAAAACGAUGGGAUGCUUUGGUUGCUGCGAAGAAGAUGCUAUCCAGAAGGCUGCUGAUAAUAGCAACACGUACCAAGUAAAAACAUCAGCAGGUAAUCGUAGUACGGCACUAAAUUUCAACCGUACUGAGAGUCAUAUAUUCUCAUAUCGUAAUUCAUAAACGCAUUGAAUGGAAUCAACAGGAGCUGCUGGUCUGAACACGGAUUUAUGUUAUGUGUGAAAUAUUAUCACUAUGAUUUUUAGAUGCUCUAGGGAGGCCUUAUCUCUAUGUCAUUUAAUGCGACUGUGAUAUGUGUUUGAUUCUUUUUUAACUGUCUUGUUGUGUUCUGUACUUCUGUAUAAAAUUGAGGAUCCUCUAAUGUCUCUGUUCUUGUCUCUUUUAAGUGGAAUAGGAUUUAUCAAAAUAUUAAAAGGUAAACCUCUGUCAUGUAGGAACUGAUGAAAGCUAUCACAAACGGCAAACUGCACCUAAAAGUCCUCCAAUAGUGAAAAUCCAGCCCAUUGAAGUCCCUGCCAUAUCAUUUGAGGAACUAAAGGAGGUAACCAAAAAUUUUGAUGCCGACUGUCUGAUUGGAGAGGGUUCCUACGGUAGAGUAUACUAUGGGGUAUUUACAAGUGGGCAGACUGUGGGAAUUAAAAAGUUGGAUGCCAGCAAACAGUCAGAUGAUGAAUUCUUAUCUCAGGUUCUUUUUACUACACUAAUUUAAGUUGUAGUGUAAAAUUAGUUAUCAUUAUAUAUAUUGACUAAUUGUUCAAACUAAUAGGUCUCCAUGGUUUCAAGACUAAAGCACGAUAAUUUUCUAAACUUGAUUGGGUACUGUGUUGGUGGCAAUUCUCGAAUUCUUGCAUAUGAGUAUGCUUCAAAUGGAUCUCUUCACGACAUUUUACAUGGUACAUGCGAUCAACGUUAGAUCGUUGAGUUGUUGAAUGCAUGAUCUUUUUUUGUUAUUUUCUUGCAUUGUUCCUCAAAAAGAAGGCAAGAUGGGUUGCUUGCCCAUGCAAUCUGAUCGAGCAAUUCGAGUUUGCAUACCCUAUGCAGUUGUAUUUGAUUAAUGCUUUGAAGGCUGAUUGAUAUUAUCAUGACAUGUGUCCAAUGCAGGGAGGAAAGGAGUCAAAGGAUCACAACCCGGCCCUGUUCUUUCCUGGGCACAAAGAGUAAAAAUUGCUGUAGGUGCUGCAAAGGGGUUGGAGUAUUUGCACGAAAAGGUCGAUCCUCAUAUCACCCAUCGUGACAUAAAAUCCAGCAACGUACUAAUAUUUGAUGAUGAUUUGGCAAAAAUUGCUGACUUUGAUUUGUCAAACCAAGCCCCUGAUAUGGCUGCACGGCUUCACUCCACCCGUGUUCUUGGAACCUUUGGCUAUCAUGCUCCCGAGUAAGUUGAUUUGAUUCUAAUGUUAUUUCAUAUACUUCAGUGUGAGUUUCACUUUUCUGCAUUUAAUCCCACGCUUGAAACUGGCAUAUUGAAAUUAAAGAUGCUUACUGCUUAGAUGUUCUCCCAUAUCUAGACUAUUUUAGCCCAUUCAAGCACUAGGUUAAUGGGCUCUCUGUAAACGAAUACACACAAAAGGUACAGCUAACAACUAGGAAACAGAGACAAGGGCCUAGUGGUUGGGUCAACUUACUGAUCAUGGCCCACUUGGCCUGGCCACUGUAAAAACCACUCUGGUUCAUUGAUGCACCAAAGAAUUCACAUAUGGUACCUUAAUAAAGAUUGUGAAUUAACCGAGAAGAAAAAGUUCUCUUAACUAGCUCUAGCCGCUAGUUGUAGUAUUUUUCUUUUACAUCAAGACAGCCAACUCCCAAGCUAUUGCCGGUUCAACUAAUGAGGAGAAUUAGGAUAAUCAGUAGAUUUUAGGUAACAUUUAGUUUAGUGGCUAAUUUGGAUUAAUUAGUUGUUUUUUGUAUUUGCUUGUCUAUAAUUAGCUAAUUUAGGCUGUAAUAGAGAGCUUUUGAACAUCAUUUGAACUAUCACUUUAUUCUUGGGGAGUGUUCUCUCAUCUUCAUAACGAGUCUGGCUUACGAAUUUGGCUUAGACCUUUUCUGUUGUAUCAUAUCCUAGAUAUAAAAUAACACAACUCAACAGACUUCAUGAGUAACUAAGAGAAGAUUCUUGAGAAAAAUAAAACUGCAGAAGAUUUUGAACACAUGAAUAUAUUAUUGUUGAUAUAAUAAAAAGUUGCAGGUUCCUUCUCUAUAAUUAAUUCUCCAAGUUUGAAUGUAAGACAUCACUACAUAGUCAUAAUAUAGCAUUAUCAAUAAGCUAAAUAUGUGGGUGGCUUCCCAAUUUGAAAAUUACAGAUACGCAAUGACUGGACAAUUGAAUUCCAAGAGUGAUGUGUACAGCUUUGGCGUUGUCCUGCUUGAACUUUUGACAGGAAGAAAGCCAGUUGAUCAUACAUUACCUCGAGGACAGCAAAGCCUCGUGACAUGGGUAUGUUUUUUACUUUUGUAUGCUUAUACUCUUCUGAUCUUCCUCCCUUUAUCUACCUAAUUUCUGAGCAGCUUGAGACUUUGAAAUGUUUUGAAACGUAAUCAGGCCACGCCCAAACUUUGCGAAGACAAAGUUAAGCAGUGUGUUGAUGCUAAACUUGGAAAUGAGUACCCUCCUAAGUCAGUUGCUAAGGUACCCCAUACGCAUACUGUUAUUUUCUUGCUUAUGUUUGGUAAUCAUAUCUCUCCUUUUUCUAUCUCUCUCCUUACUUGUCUGUGUGAGAUUCCCUUUCUUUUUUUCCUUUUUUUUUUUUUUUUUCUAGUUUUAGAUAGAAAUUGUAUUAAACCAACAUUUCUCUAUCUAAGGGGAAGGGGGAACAGAGCCCGAAGAGGACAUUUUCAAUUACCUAGAGCCACAGAGUUUAAAUCUUUACCAACAAUUUGAAAAUUGAAAAGAGAAAUAAGAAAAACUGUUUGCUACAAAACCGAUAAGAAUUAUGAAAUACGAAAGGACCCCACAUCACUGAGAAUGUAAUUGAUUCCUCAUUCUCAUCACGAUGUGGGUGAUGGAUUUUAAAAGGAAGUACUUGAAAAGUUUUUUUUUUUUUUUUGAAAAACCAUUUUUAGCACUUAAAAUUAGUCCAUAGAUUUCACACCGACUCCAUUUGGUAAAUGGUAACCAUUUUCUUCUAUUUUUAUUUUUGAAAAACUUAGUCCUAUUCUUCUUCAAUUUUUAUUAUGAUUUUUUACGGUGGUUUUCAUCUUUUCAUCUCUCAAGUACAAGUGGAAUUUUUAGCUAAAUUUUAAAUGAAAAACUAGCUUUUUAAAACUAUUUCUUUCAAGUAUUUCAAACUCAACUUUAAAAUCCAACUAGCUACCAUUGAGAUUUGAAUUUUAAUUCAAUUUGGUUUGGAGGCUUUAGCAUUUUGAUUUUUAAUCUCCAUUUUUAUUAUAAUGUUCAUUGAUUAAUUUAAAAGAACUAUAGUUAAUUAAAUUUAACUAUAUUUUCAUCACUGUCAAAAUGAAUUUAUAAUUCUCACUUCUUAAUAAAUUUAAGUUUAUAUGCCAAAAACGGAGGUGAUUAUUUAGGUUAAAAAUGCUAAACUUAAAAUUUAAACACCACAGUAAAACAAAACUCAAAUCUUAACAAUCUUAACAAUAAAAUUGAAACUCCUUGAGGAAUGAAUUCAAAAACUAAUAACCAAGGGUGUAAUCUAACAUUUUGAAACUCAAGAGCCAUAUCGGAACUAUACCAAAAAUCUAAAAAGCCAAAAAAGUAUGUGUAUGAAAAUAAAAAAUCACAUUCAAUAGCUAUAAGGAGACACAUUAUGUCGGCUUGAAAGAAUAACUUUUUCUAAAAAUGUAUAUGGGUCUCAAUUUACAAAAACAGUCAAUUAUGAAGUUACAUUACAUUUUUGAAAACUUGGCCAGAUCUUUUAUAGAAAAAGGUAAUAAAAGUGAUAUGUAAAAGCAAAGCUGAAGGGAGAAGCAGUUUCAUUUUGCUUAGUGAUUGUAUUUUUACAGUUUGCAGCAGUGGCUGCAUUAUGCGUCCAAUACGAAGCAGAUUUCAGACCAAACAUGAGUAUUGUAGUCAAAGCUCUUCAACCACUCUUAAAUGCCCGUCCUGGUCCUUGAGGUGAAACCACCAACUCUUAAAAAUCUCUCUGUUUCUUUUCUUUUUUCUUUCCUGUGGAUUCUUGUUUGUUACUACCUCUUGGGUCCACGUGCUGACACGUGACGUGAGGCUUCCAAAUUAUUACCCGGGUAUUAAAUUUUUCGUUGGUGGUGGGUGAUCAUCAAUUUGUUUACAAAAACAGUGAGAUACCACAAUCAUCAUUUUUCAUGUCAUAUAUGAACGACGUGUCGUCGUUUCUUCUUCUUUUUCUCUCUCUCUCUCUCUUUUGGUUGGCCUCUCGUUUAUGUGCUUCUUUUGCCUCUUCACCCACGUGCAUGAUGGCCCAUUUUCUCCCAGAAAAAAAGAAGAAAGGGUAAAGUAAAGUUUUUAGCUUUUUCUAUUCUAUUAUUUAGUUUUUCUUCUCUUUCUUUUUUAGCUUCACGGGCUGAGUGGCGAAAAACAACACUUUUUCCCUCUGACACACUGCACGUCCCCUUCUUUCUUUCUCUUUUUCGGUUUUGACCCUUCAAAAUAAAGUUAUAAAUUAAAAUUACAUGUUUUCCUCCACAAUUCUCAACUUUCUCGCUUGUAUUCAGUAGCCUCUUGAAUUUUAGUUACAUCCUUGUAAUUGUAGUUGUAUUUUUAAACUUUUAAAAUUAAAAAUUGAGACUUGAAUUUGUCAUUAAUUUUCAAUUUUUCUUUAAAAGUAAUUAAAUUCACAAUCAAUUUUUAAAAACAAACACAAAAAAAAGAGAGUUUUUGAAAAAAAAUGUAAUUCUUUGAAAUCUUAUUAAAAUCAUGGUAGAAAUAAACACAUAUUUAAAAAAUAAAAAUCCAAAAAUGAAAUAAACACUUUUUGGUUACAGCCCACCAAAUUUGUAGCAUAGUUUUGACCGAACUCUCUAUUUCUUACUAUAAUUGUAUUUGUUUACAUUUUUUGAUGACUUUUAGCCAAAAAGUAAUUGGAAGUUAUCAAUAGUUGAAUAAUAAAUGAUCCAUAAUGAACUAUCUUGAUGUUAGGUUCUACACCGAUAAAAGUGCUUUUUAAGUACUUCACUGUCAAUGACUUAUACUAUAUUUAUUUAGGAAUAUGCCCUUAGCAUGUCAAAUGCCAUUUUUUUAUAUAUGGUCCAAAGUACUUCCACUUAAUAUUACCAUGUUUUUAAAUAAAUGAGGAGUAAUUUUCUAACAACUUGUUUGUAAAUCAUUUUUAAAAUUCUAACGUCCACUUUAAUUUCCACUUUUAAUUACUCAAAAUUACUUUAAUAUUUAAUUUUAACAUUUUUUUUCAUUAUACUAAAAUUGUUAGGGAUGAUUAACAAAAGGGAUUUUGAGUAUUUUAGAAUUAUGUACUAAAAUGCCUGUUUGGAGCAAUGUUUGUGAAACAGUUAAACAUAAGAAGUGCCUUUUCUUUUAAAGCACUUUGGGGAGGGUAGAGUAAAGAGUUCAUCAUCAAAGUAACGGUUUUUUUUAAAGAUUUUCUUAUUAAAGUAAUUAUUGUUGAAAUGUGUCUUUGUGGACCAAAAAGUACUUUUUCUAACAAAAUUAUGCGUUCUUUUGUUUAAAUAAAAAAAGUUAUCAAAUUGUUGUGUGUUCAUAAAAGUAACACUUUUGGGUGAAAAGUACUUUUAGGAUUAACAAUGAUUACAGAUACCUAUAAAUCAAGGAUUUUAUAAGAAUCUUUUUAUUUAAAUAUUCUAGUGAUGAAAUUUAAUUAGAAAAAUAUGGCAGUUCUCAGGGUAUUUGAACUUGAUAGCACAUUUUUCAUUCAUUUGGCAACAUGAUACGAAUUUAACAUAUUUUCAAAUUUUUAAAUAAAUGUAGAUAUAUAUAUAUAUAUAUAUAUAUAAGUACUUUGUAAACAACAAAUUAAGUAUUAUUUCUUCUAAGAGUAGUUAAGUUUUAAAGUCAUAUUAUUGAUUAUCUAAUUGUAGCCUCCAUUAUUCUAAUAUAAAGUUAUGUCCAUGUGGAAUUUGAAAAUGAGAGAGCCCACCACAAAAAUUGUAAAAUGAGAAAGAUUCGAUAUUGUAUGGGAAAAUAGGUGUGAUUUAAUAUGAUGACAAUCAAUUUGGUAGUUCUAAUUAAUUAACAUUCACUAUACAAAAAAAUUAAUUACAUGUUCUCGAGUUCUUGUUUGAGAGAACGAUUUCGUUACUAUCAAAGUAAAAUUAGUUUGAAUCUUUCACUCAAUUAUGAUUGUAAUUAAAGAAUAAUCAAUUAUGAUUGUAAUUAAAGAAUAAUUAUUGAUUUUAAAUAAUGAUAAACUAAUUAUACUUAGCUAAUCUAUGUAGACAAUUAAGAAUCUCAUUCGUUUUGAUAAUCUCUUUUAUGAUUGCAAUAAUUUAAUCACUUCAAAAAUACGUAACUAUAUUAGUCUUUUUACUUUUACGUUUACAACAAUUCAGUAUAUAAAAAAAUAUCAAAAUGUGAGGUGGUUUUAACAAUUUUGGGUUUGUAGCUUAUAAAUAUAUUUACCUAAACAUUUAUCAAUCUACAUUCAUUUUAAAUAGCAUAUUCAUUAUUGCUAAAUCAACUUAAAAUGCUUUAAGUGGAAUGAUUGGUAAUAAAUUUAUUGCAUAAAUCAACAUUUAAGUAAAUAAUAGAAUAUAUAGACACAAAAUUUGCAUAUACCACAUCAAAUUGGUAAAAGAAAAAAACAAAAUUUGAUGUCGAGCACAAAAAUCGAUAUCAGUUACUAUCACCGAUGGUUGUUAAUAAUAAAUGUUACUAAUAAUUAUUAUAUGCACUAAAAUGUAAACGUGGAACAAUUCUUUUUUUUUUUUUACAAAUUGACUAUCAACAUUUGUUAUUUUAGCAAAUAUUUUAAAAAUCGUAGUUCGUUUUUAGAUCAUUUUCUCGAUAGAGUGCUAUUUGCUAUCAUAUUCCAAUUGAAAACCUCAUAAGUCACAAUAAUCAGUGUAUAUCCUUAUUUGAUCGACUAAUAUUCAAAAUGGACCAAUAUUUAUAUGCCUAAUUGAAAUAAGAAAAAAAAACGCUCUAAUUUCUACGAAAACUUUUGUUUCUUUU